rnacentral:rRNA from 1 species
UGUGAAGGAAAGGUGAAAAGGACCCCGGGAGGGGAGUGAAAGAGAACCUGAAACCUUGUGCCUACAAGCACAUAGAGCACAUCAACGUGUGAUAUGGUACUUUUUGUAGAACGGUCCGGCGAGCGAUUGUACGUUGCGAGCUUAAGCACUUCAGGUGCGGAGGCGCAGCGAGAGCGAGUCUGAAUAGGGCGCUUAAGUAACGUGCAAUGGGCCCGAAACCGGGUGACCUACCCAUGAUCAGGCUGAAGUGAAAGUAAAAUUUCAUGGAGGGCCGAACCGACCUCCGUUGAAAAGGCGGCGGAUGAAUUGUGGGUAGCGGAGAAAUUCCAAUCGAACUCGGAGAUAGCUGGUUCUCCCCGAAAUAGCUUUAGGGCUAGCCUCAUAUUAGAUACCCGGAGGUAAAGCACUGAAUGGCCUAGCGCCCGAGAGGGUAGCGAAGCCUAUCAAACUAAGAAUGCCGGAGUAUUGAUGUAUGGGAGUCAGACAGUGUGAGAUAAAUCUCAUUGUCAAAAGGGAAACAGCCCAGAUCUACAGCUAAGGUCCCAAAUUGUGUUUAAGUGGAAAAGGAUGUGGAGUUACGCAGACAACCAGGAUGUUGGCUCAGAAGCAGCCAUUCAUUCAAAGAGUGCGUAAUAGCUCACUGGUCGAGCGUCUUUGCGCGGAGAAUUUAACGGGGCUAAACCUGACACCGAAGCUUAGGCAAUACAGCAAUGUAUUGGGUAGGGGAGCGUUGUAUACGCGGUGAAACAGUAGCGCAAGCGGCUGUGGAGUGUAUAGAAGUGAGAAUGCCGGAAUGAGUAGCGCGAAUGCAGUGAGAAUCUGCAUGGCCGAAAGCCUCAGGUUUUUGGAGGAAGGUUCGUCCGCUCCAAGUUAGUCGGGAGCUAAGGUGAGGCCGAAAGGCGUAGCCGAUGCACAGACGGUAGAGAUUCCGUCACCACCGAAAGAGUUAAGCACAGGGACACAUUUGAAGUCUCAGAGCCGGGUGUUGGUUCCGGUAGAGAUCGAGGGAAGUUAGUACCGAAGUCUGGGAUGGAAGAUGGCGAGAAAAGCUGUGUGGAUUUCUGAGGUGCCCGUACCGCAAACCGACACAGGUAGGUAGGAAGAAGAUUCUAAGGCCAACGGGAGAAGGGUUGUUAAGGAACUCGGCAAAUUGACCCCGUAACUUCGGGAGAAGGGGUGCUCCAGAGAUGGAGCCGCAGAGAAUCGGCCCAAGCAACUGUUUACCAAAAACACAGGUUUGUGCUAAAUCGAAAGAUGACGUAUACGAGCUGACGCCUGCCCGGUGCUGGAAGGUUAAAAGGAGAUGUGCAAGCAUUGAAUUGAAGCCCCAGUGAACGGCGGCCGUAACUAUAACGGUCCUAAGGUAGCGAAAUUCCUUGUCAGGUAAGUUCUGACCCGCACGAAAGG